AUUGAACGCUGGCGGCAUGCCUUACACAUGCAAGUCGAACGGCAGCGGGGACUUCGGUCCGCCGGCGAGUGGCGAACGGGUGAGUAAUGUAUCGGAACGUACCAUUCAGUGGGGGAUAACUAUCCGCAAGGAUAGCUAAUACCGCAUAUUCUGUGAGCAGGAAAGCAGGGGAUCGCAGGACCUUGCGCUGAUUGAGCGGCCGAUAUCCGAUUAGCUAGUUGGUGAGGUAACGGCUCACCAAGGCUACGAUCUGUAGCGGGUCUGAGAGGAUGAUCCGCCACACUGGGACUGAGACACGGCCCAGACUCCUACGGGAGGCAGCAGUGGGGAAUUUUGGACAAUGGGCGCAAGCCUGAUCCAGCCAUGCCGCGUGAGUGAAGAAGGCCUUCGGGUUGUAAAGCUCUUUCGGCCGGGAAGAAAUCGCAUCAGCUAAUACCUGGUGUGGAUGACGGUACCGGAAUAAGAAGCACCGGCUAACUACGUGCCAGCAGCCGCCGCAGUAA
rnacentral:rRNA from 1 species